AUAUCAAUAAGCGGAGGAAAAGAAACCAACAGGGAUUGCCUCAGUAACGGCGAGUGAAGCGGCAACAGCUCAAAUUUGAAAUCUGGCUCUUUGGGCCCGAGUUGUAAUUUGUAGAGGAUGUUUCGGGUAAGAUCUAGGUCUAAGUUCCUUGGAACAGGGCGUCAUAGAGGGUGAGAAUCCCGUACGUGGCCGAGGAUCGCACCCAUGUGAAACUCCUUCGACGAGUCGAGUUGUUUGGGAAUGCAGCUCAAAAUGGGUGGUAAAUUUCAUCUAAAGCUAAAUAUUGGCCAGAGACCGAUAGCGCACAAGUA
rnacentral:rRNA from 1 species